rnacentral:lncRNA from 12 species
UGACUUCACUUUGGGGUACAGAAAACAGUUCUGUGAGGGUGUCCUCUAGCUCACUGCCCAAGCAUCCACAUGCUGAGAUGAGUAGGGAGUGAGUCUCUUCUCUUGGCUAGCUUUGCCUUCUGUGUCCUGGAGGCCCUGCUGCCCACUAAUACAGCGACCCCAACGCCCAGCCUGGGAUGCAGUGUGUAUCUGCUAAUUGACACAAUGAAGAUGGGGCAAGGUGGACUGCAGGGUGUUGAAAGAAUCAAGGUUCUCUGAGCGAGACAAAGUGCAAGCAGGAAGGUGGAGAAAGGCCACAUCAGCAGUUGGAAACCUGGAGGCCCAGUGAGGAAGCAGAGGCCGAAGGCUCAAGGGCACAUCACUGCUUCCCUUCCUGGAGGCCUUCUUUCCUGGCAGGAUGUGCCCAUCCCAGAAUGUGUUAGCAAUGAUUCUCUAGCCUGGCUGUGCUUCAGAAUCACCUGAAGUGAUGGCUCAUACCCAUUCCCCACCCUCAAAGGCUUGGAUUCAGUUCUAGGAAGCAGUGUUUGGAAAAUCUGGGACUUCAACCAAAACCUCUGGUGGUUUGGAUAAUUUGUUGUUGAAGACUGAUGUUUGGGAACCACUGGUUUGGAGAGAUCUUUAUAGAGAAUAAUUUAAGAUUUUAUUUCUUAUAUUUGUUUUUUUCAUUCCCACAAUAAUGUAAACAUUAUAGAAACCCAAGAGAUCUGGUGUUACAAUAAAUGGUCAUUAGUACAAAAAUCA